UAGUCCACGCUGUAAACGAUGAAUACUAGGUGUAGGAGGUAUCGACCCCUCCUGUGCCGCAGCUAACGCAAUAAGUAUUCCGCCUGGGGAGUACGACCGCAAGGUUGAAACUCAAAGGAAUUGACGGGGACCCGCACAAGCAGCGGAGCAUGUGGUUUAAUUCGACGCAACGCGAAGAACCUUACCAGGACUUGACAUCCACAGAAUCUUUCAGAAACGUUAGAGUGCCUUUCGGGAGCUGUGAGACAGGUGGUGCAUGGUUGUCGUCAGCUCGUGUCGUGAGAUGUUGGGUUAAGUCCCGCAACGAGCGCAACCCUUAUGUUUAGUUACCAGCAUGUAAUGGUGGGGACUCUAGACAGACUGCCGGGGACAACUCGGAGGAAGGUGGGGACGACGUCAAAUCAUCAUGCUCCUUAUGUCCUGGGGCUACACACGUGCUACAAUGGGUCGUUAC
rnacentral:rRNA from 1 species